rnacentral:misc_RNA from 1 species
GUGAAUCAUCAAAUUUUUGAACGCAAAUUGCACUCUCCUCUGAGAGUAUGCCUGUUUGAGGGUCAGCCUAUAAAAAAUCGACAUCGUUGCUGUUUCGCGGUGGCGUUCGUCGGAAAUUGGGUCAUCUUUAAUCUUUUGGUUUUAAGCGACUUAAACUUUUCUUUUUGGUUCCAUGAACGUUCCUAAGAUUUAUUUCUUUACGCGUUUAAGGUAUCGAUUUUUAUUAGACGUGACUAUCAUACCGAGUCGCGCCAAUAAUCUGUCAUUAACUGACAUCAGA